UACGUAGGGGGCUAGCGUUGUCCGGAUUUAUUGGGCGUAAAGAGCGUGUAGGCGGCCAGGUAGGUCUGGUGUGAAAACUCGAGGCUUAACCUCGAGAUGUCAUCGGAAACCAUCUGGCUAGAGUCCGGAAGAGGAGAGUGGAAUUCCUGGUGUAGCGGUGAAAUGCGCAGAUAUCAGGAAGAACACCAAUGGCGAAAGCAGCUCUUUGGGACGGUACUGACGCUGAGACGCGAAAGCGUGGGGAGCGAACAGG
rnacentral:rRNA from 1 species